ACUAUUAUAGUGUUAUAGCACAUAGGUCUUUCUCACCUGAAGUUCAGUUUGAUAAUAGUA
rnacentral:tRNA from 1 species